rnacentral:rRNA from 1 species
AGAUUUCUUCGGAAUGAAGUUUUAGUGACUGAGUGGCGGACGGGUGAGUAACGCGUGGGUAACCUGCCUCAUACAGGGGGAUAACAGUUAGAAAUGACUGCUAAUACCGCAUAAGCGCACGGUAUCGCAUGAUACAGUGUGAAAAACUCCGGUGGUAUAAGAUGGACCCGCGUCUGAUUAGCUAGUUGGUGAGGUAACGGCCCACCAAGGCGACGAUUGGUAGCCGGACUGAGAGGUUGAACGGCCACAUUGGGACUGAGACACGGCCCAAACUCC